CACGUAGUUAGCCGUGGCUUUCUGAUUAGGUAUCGUCAAGACGUGCACAGUUACUUACACGUUUGUUCUUCCCUAAUAACAGAGUUUUACGAUCCGAAGACCUUCAUCACUCACGCGGCGUUGCUCCGUCAAGCUUUCGCCCAUUGCGGAAGAUUCCCUACUGCUGCCUCCCGUAGGAGUCUGGACCGUGUCUCAGUUCCAGUGUGGCCGAUCACCCUCUCAGGUCGGCUACGUAUCGUUGCCUUGGUAAGCCGUUACCUUACCAACUAGCUAAUACGGCGCAGGUCCAUCUAUAAGUGAUAGCAAAGCCAUCUUUCACUAUCGAACCAUGCGGUUCGAAAUAUUAUCCGGUAUUAGCUCCGGUUUCCCAAGUUAUCCCAGUCUUAUAGGUAGGUACCUACGUGUUACUCACCGUCGCCGCUACAUCAAGAGCAGAUCCUCGUCUGUUCGCUCGACUUGCAUGUAUUAGGUCACGCCGCCGACGACGGUUUCCUAUACCUUCGAGCCACCGGUAGUA
rnacentral:rRNA from 1 species